AUUGAACGCUGGCGGCAGGCCUAACACAUGCAAGUCGAACGGUAACAGGAAGCAGCUUGCUGCUUCGCUGACGAGUGGCGGACGGGUGAGUAAUGUCUGGGAAGCUGCCUGAUGGAGGGGGAUAACUACUGGAAACGGUAGCUAAUACCGCAUAAUGUCGCAAGACCAAAGAGGGGGACCUUCGGGCCUCUUGCCAUCGGAUGUGCCCAGAUGGGAUUAGCGUGUUGGUGGGGUAACGGCUCACCAAGGCGGCGAUCCCUAGCUGGGCUGAGAGGAUGACCAGCCACACUGGAACUGAGACACGGUACAGACUCCUACGGGAGGCAGAAGUGGGGAAUAUUGCACAAUGGGCGCAAGCCUGAUGCAGCCAUGCCGCGUGUAUGAAGAAGGCCUUCGGGUUGUAAAGUACUUUCAGCGGGGAGGAAGGGAGUAAAGUUAAUACCUUUGCGUAUUGACGUUACCCGCAGAAGAAGCACCGGCUAACUCCGUG
rnacentral:rRNA from 1 species